GAGGAAAAAUGAUUAAGAACCCCUAAGAAAAUUAAACAACUAGAGAUAGAAAGAAAACAUUACAAGAUGGAAUGAGACGAUAAUUGAGAAGAACGAUAAACAUACUCAUGAUCAAUGAAGAUCAAAUCUGUCAUCAUAUAAGAAAAGUUUACCAUUUGCUCAAUCCUAAGGCCUUCCACAUCAGCAACUCUCUUCUCAAAAUUCCACAUCAUCAUUCUAAAAAUUAACUUCUUCUUCCACUAUAAUUUGACAGUUACAUUCUAUUAUUCUUCAAUUUCCACUAUCCUCGUAACUGUGUUUAAUCCCACCCUCUUCCAAAUUCCAAAACCGUUCAAAAAUUCCACGAUCCAUUUUCCCAAAUUCCUUUUCACUUUUCCUCACAUGAUUGGGAUUCUUCAUUGUUCUGAAGACAAAUACGCAACCUAUCAUGUUCACGGCGGUGUUGCUUCAGGUUUGUCAACGAUGGAUGACUUCGCGUAUGGUGUCUGCGGCUGUGUCAAUCUUGGUCGGAAGGCUGAUGCUGGCGGUGAUUGGUUUCUCUUUCUGACGACCCUUCACAGUGGUCGAGUUUGAUUAAACGGAAGAUGGUGGAGGAGUUGUACAAAUCUCUUGUGGCUUAAUUUAGAUCUCAGAGUUCUCAUGGAUUUUAUUUCUCUAUGUCUGAUGGUGUUUCGUUCUUGAUUGUAUUGGUAGUUAUGUUCAUAUUAUACUAACCCUUUCGUACUCCUCAUCUCACGACCUUCCUAAAGUAUUUUGAUUUAAUUUUUGAUUGAUUUGGUGUUGAUGAUGCUCACGGGUUUGUGCGAAAUGUUGGAACUGGUGAACACCUUCCCUGAAGAGAUGUCUCUGUUGGAAAGCAUGUAAAAUAUAUUCUCAGAAAAGAGUGUAUUUGAUUUUAGAGUUUGCACCUAAAGGUGAACUUUACAAGGAGUUACAUAAAUGCAAAUAUUUUAGUGAAAGACGUGCAGCUACUUAUGUUGUGUCAUUGGCCCUAGCCCUUAUAUAUUGCCAUGGAAACCAUGUAAUUCAUAGGGACAUUAAACCAGAGAACCUUCUUAUCGCUGCUCAGGGCGAAUUGAAGAUUGCGGAUUUCGGCUGGUAGGUACACACAUUCAACGGUAGGAGGACCAUGUGUGGCACCCUGGAUUACCUUCCACCCGAGAUGGUUGAGAGUGUAGAACAUGAUGCAAGUGUUGAUAUAUGGAGCCUCGACGUUCUUUGCUACGAGUUUAUUUACGGAGUCCCGCAUUUUGGGGCCAAAGAACAUUCUGAUACUUAUAGGAAGAACUGGCUUUGAGGAGGACAAGAAUUUCCAUGUUGUUUUAAAUUUUGUAAUAGCUGGCCGCUAUCAUGUCACCGAGUAUUUGGGAUCUGCGGCAUUCACUAAAGCAAUUCAAGCUCAUGACCUGCUCAAAGCCUACUUAUAUGAUUUUCAUAAAUUUAACAGAGAAUCAAGAGGGGAACUUUACUUUACAAUGCCAAGAUUGCAGCCAUGAAGCCGAAUCUAUCAUACAAGAUAAUAUUCCCGAGUUUUGUGCCAGUUUCUUGGCUGCCAGUUGUUGUUGAUGCAUUGUCUGUAUGGUAAGUUAUUAGUCAUGUGUAUUUGAAUGUUUUAGGUUUGAUUUACAUGUUUUAUAUUUAUUAGUGUUUGAGGAAUGUGGUGGAUGUAAUUGAUCUACAACAGUUAUAGUCGUCAGAACCUUCACCUGAGUUGUUUAGCCCUUGGCACUGAAACAAAAUUGGAUCGUAGCAUUGCAAGAUAAGUGAUCCUUACACAUUGCUCCAACAGUAUUGGUGAUGUAUGUAGUGUCUCGAAGAUGUUGCGUAAGCAUGUUGUAUCCUAUAUUUUUUAAUGUAGUGUUGUGUAGAUAUUAGUGUAACAAUGUGUUGUAUGUGACUAUGUUGGCGCGUGAUAAUGAUGAAAAUAUUAAACCAUGUCGUGUGAUAAUGAUGCAGGGCGGAACCGAGUCAUACAACUGUUGUACCGAAUCAUCCCGGGGAUGAACAGAGUCAUACAAAUGUUGUACUGAAUGAUGCAGGGGAAAAACCGAGUCCUACAGCUGAUAUAUCGUACAUUGGACUGGGACUGAACCGAGUCAUGCAGCUGCUGUAUCGAAUGAUGCAGGGGAGAAACAAAGUCGUACACCUAAUAUACUUAAUACUGCAGGUGCUGAAUCAGAUUACAUGUACCCUACCCCGCACAUUUUUUGUGAAGAAGGUUAUGCUUGGUCAAUACACAUAAAUGAUUAGCCUCACAAAGCCAACUUCUGGUGCAGCCUAUGUUCAAGGUCUCGACAUAAGAAAUCAUAUGAAUGGAAUAUAUACUAGCAUGGGAGUAUGUCCACAGCAUGACUUGCUGUGGGAAAGCUUAACAGGUAGAGAGCACCUACUUUUUUAUGGAAGACUUAAAAGUCUUACAGGUUCACUCUUGACUCAUUUAUAUUGUUAUAGGCGGUAGAAGAAUCUUUGAAGAGUUUAAACCUUUACCAUGGAAGAAUUGCUGAUAAACAAGAUGAAAAAUACAGUGGAGGGAUGAAGAGGAGGCUCAGUGUUGCAAUUUCAAGGUUGCUUAUUAAA